UUCGGACCAAACGGGGCUUCGGCUCCGGCGCAAAGAGAGGCCCAAGUGAGAUUAGCUAGUUGGUAAGGUAAAGGCUUACCAAGGCGACGAUCUCUAGCUGUUCUGAGAGGAAGAUCAGCCACACUGGGACUGAGACACGGCCCAGACUCCUACGGGAGGCAGCAGUGGGGAAUAUUGCACAAUGGGGGAAACCCUGAUGCAGCCAUGCCGCGUGUGUGAAGAAGGCCUUCGGGUUGUAAAGCACUUUCAGUUGUGAGGAAAAGUUAGUAGUUAAUACCUGCUAGCCGUGACGUUAACAACAGAAGAAGCACCGGCUAACUCCGUGCCAGCAGCCGCGGUAAUACGGAGGGUGCGAGCGUUAAUCGGAAUUACUGGGCGUAAAGCGCACGCAGGCGGUUUGUUAAGCUAGAUGUGAAAGCCCCGGGCUCAACCUGGGAUGGUCAUUUAGAACUGGCAGACUAGAGUCUUGGAGAGGGGAGUGGAAUUCCAGGUGUAGCGGUGAAAUGCGUAGAUAUCUGGAGGAACAUCAGUGGCGAAGGCGACUCCCUGGCCAAAGACUGACGCUCAUGUGCGAAAGUGUGGGUAGCGAACAGGAUUAGAUACCCUGGUAGUCCACACCGUAAACGCUGUCUACUAGCUGUUUGUGACUUUAAGUCGUGAGU
rnacentral:rRNA from 1 species